rnacentral:rRNA from 1 species
AUUGAACGCUGGCGGCAGGCCUAACACAUGCAAGUCGAACGGUAACAGGAAGAAGCUUGCUUCUUUGCUGACGAGUGGCGGACGGGUGAGUAAUGUCUGGGAAACUGCCUGAUGGAGGGGGAUAACUACUGGAAACGGUAGCUAAUACCGCAUAACGUCGCAAGACCAAAGAGAGGGACCUUCGGGCCUCUUGCCAUCGGAUGUGCCCAGAUGGGAUUAGCUAGUAGGUGGGGUAACGGCUCACCUAGGCGACGAUCCCUAGCUGGUCUGAGAGGAUGACCAGCCACACUGGAACUGAGACACGGUCCAGACUCCUACGGGAGGCAGCAGUGGGGAAUAUUGCACAAUGGGCGCAAGCCUGAUGCAGCCAUGCCGCGUGUAUGAAGAAGGCCUUCGGGUUGUAAAGUACUUUCAGCGGGGAGGAAGGGAGUAAAGUUAAUACCUUUACUCAUUGACGUUACCCGCAGAAGAAGCACCGGCUAACUCCGUG